AGGCCAGGCUUGGGUGUGAGUUCCCGGGCAGGGUUCCUGGUCCUGUGUGUGUCCUCGUGGGUAAGCUCCCUCUCCCCCUCACCUUCUAGGGCAAGCAGGAGGAGAAUGACGUGGUGGAGAAGCUGAACCUCUUCUUGGAUCUGCUGCAGUCGUAUAAGGACCUGUGUGAGCGGCACGAGAAGGGUGUGCUGCAGAAGCACAAGCGGGCCUUGCACAAAUACAGCCUGAUGAAGAGGCAGAUGAUGAGCGCCGCCGUGCAGAACCGCGAGCCGGAGUCCGUGGAGCAGCUGGAGUCCCGCAUUGUGGAGCAGGAGAAUGCGAUUCAGACCAUGGAGCUGCGGAACUACUUCUCCCUGUACUGCCUCCACCAGGAGACGCAGCUCAUCCACGUCUACCUGCCCCUCAUCUCCCACAUCCUCCGUGCCUUCGUGAACUCCCAGAUCCAAGGGCACAAGGAGAUGAGCAAGGUGUGGAACGACCUGAGACCCAAGCUCAGCUGCAUCUUUGCGGGACCACACAGCACCCUGACCCCACCGCGUUCCCCGCCGCAGUCCCCGCCGGAGGACGGCCUGUGUCCUCACUAGCGCGAGGCUAAGGCGGUGCUCCCUGCGGCCACACUAAAACCUCUUUCCAAAUGGUGUGUCCCGUGUAAUUCCCUUUGGACGGCAGCUCCCCUUCUGGCAGUGCUGCAGCCAGAGCAGAGGCACUCAGCCCGCGGGCCGGGAGGGCACCCAUGGACCACAGGGCAGCUGUGCCACGCUGUCCUCCACCCCAUGGCCUGCUAGCCUGGUGGAGAGGGUUGGUGGGGUUCCUCAUGACACCCAGAGCCAUGGGGGAAGGCAGGGAUCUCUCAUCUCACAGAGAUUGUGCCUGGGGGAGCAUGGGGGCGGGGACUUCAGAUGCUGGAACA
rnacentral:lncRNA from 1 species